rnacentral:rRNA from 1 species
CCGGGCCUUUCCCUCUGUGGAACCUCAUGCCCUUCACUGGGUGUGCUGGGGAAACAGGACUUUUACUUUGAAAAAAUUAGAGUGCUCCAGGCAGGCCUAUGCUCGAAUACAUUAGCAUGGAAUAAUAAAAUAGGACGUGCGGUUCUAUUUUGUUGGUUUCUAGGACCGCCGUAAUGAUUAAUAGGGACAGUCGGGGGCAUCAGUAUUCAAUUGUCAGAGGUGAAAUUCUUGGAUUUAUUGAAGACUAACUACUGCGAAAGCAUUUGCCAAGGAUGUUUUCAUUAAUCAGGAACGAAAGUUAGGGGAUCGAAAACGAUCAGAUACCGUUGUAGUCUUAACCAUAAACUAUGCCGACUAGGGAUCGGACGAUGUUAUUUUUUGACUCGUUCGGCACCUUACGAGAAAUCAAAGUGCUUGGGCUCCAGGGGGAGUAUGGUCGCAAGGCUGAAACUUAAAGAAAUUGACGGAAGGGCACCACCAGGGGUGGAGCCUGCGGCUUAAUUUGACUCAACACGGGGAAACUCACCAGGUCCAGACACAAUAAGGAUUGACAGAUUGGAAGAGA